rnacentral:ribozyme from 1 species
ACCUCGCGUACUCCUUUCCCUACCUCCUCGCGGUACUGGCCGGGGUACGAGUAACCUUAUGGAAGAUCGGGUAACCAAUCCCGGUGGGAACUUUGACAGGGAAAGG